CAUGUUUGGGGCUAUAGGGAUAGGUAGCCUACAAUUACUCUCUAGGAGGGGGGAGUUUGGGCUGGAAAACCCAGAGAAGGGCGGGAGCCAGCAAGGUAGAAAAGGCAGCAAGGUAUGGGGUAGGGCAGACACUGGCUGCUGAUGAAAGGGCCCCUGAGCUGGAACCUAGGGCAGGACCAGGUUCCCCUAACAGCCACUGGGAAAGUGAAAUGGACCAGAGAACAGGAAGCAGACUAUCUGGGACAGUUGCUCUUGGAAGACUUGAAUACCACAGAAGGGGAGAACCAUAGUGACCUGCGUGGAGGGCCAAGUCACACAGAGGAAGAUGCAGCUCCUGGAGUGAGAGAGAGCCUGCAGGGUGCAGCAGUGAGAGGUCCCUGUGACAACAUUGUAUUUAUUUAUUUUUUGGAAGAAGCUGAAAAAUCUCCCUAUAGAAUAUAACUUGGCUGUAGAAGGCUACAAUUUUGAUAUGUUUCAGCAUUCCAGGAGAGACAAGAACAGGGAUGGUAAAAAUGUUGCAAUCUUCCAAGGGUGAAAUGACUGUUGCGACUAACUUUUCUUCAGACAGCCACAGUGUUCUACAUCUGUGUUCUGUUCCCUUCCCCAUCCCGGGCCUAACUCCCUCUUUAGUUCCCAUCACCCGCCACCUCUCCCAUUCUGCACAUCUCCUGUUUGUAAGGGGGAGGUAAGAUUGGGGUAACGGGAGAAGCUCUGAAACUGUGUAACCUUUCAAGGGACAGGAGACUGCUUUACUAAAUUUAGACAACCAACUAUAAGUUUUCCAUAACUGUCCUAUCCCUAGCUGGGACCUUUCCAAUACUCCCCUCCCUUGCCUCUGCCUGCAUAGCCCCAGGACCAUGGCUGCCUGACUGCUGGCUGAGAAAUGCAGACAUGAGGGCACAAUGAUUUUUUUUUUCCUUAAUCUAUUUUUAAAAGUGCUUUUAGAAGCUGCAUGCAUGAUAGUGUUUAACCAGAAAUCAACAGAACAAAUUUCUAUCACUGGGCUCUAUCUCUAUUAGAGGUAGAAAAAAAGGUCUCUUCCAGUUAUGGAGCUAACCCAAACUAAAAUAUAAGAAAACAGAAGCUUUUGAACUUGGGAUUUGAACUGACAACCCCUGAAAUGUGGCAAUACAGUAUUCAGAUUUGAUGUUCUGGUUUAGGCCCUUCUCUCACAUUGAUUUGAGGAAGGGAGGAGAAAUGGAAGACAAAAUAAUGGCAUUUUAGUAGGAAGCCCCCCUGCUGGUUCCUGUGGCUCUCCUCUCUUGUUGGUGUCGCAAUCUCCUGAUGAGCCUUAGGCUCAGUAUACAAAUAGACAUGCAUUGUGAGGUGGACAAUACCCACUACACAUUGACCAAAAAGCAGAUAAGUGUCUGUACCACUUGCUUGAAAGGAACAUUCCUGAGGUAUA